rnacentral:lncRNA from 1 species
UUCAUUUCCAAAAGAAUAUCCAUUUUACAUUACACAAGAUUCACGUUACAAAGUCCAUAAAGAAGUACAUUGACCUACAAUUGACUUUGGUCAUCCAUUGAUCUUUUGAUCAAACAGUUGACCAAAGUCAACUAUCUAGUUCUAAUCCCUAAACCAUAUGCCUUUCUUCUUCUUCACAUUGAUUUCCAUGUCACCAAGUAUUGCUCAUGUUCAAGUCUUUGCCCAUGCCUUCAUGAUCCAAAUGCCAAGUCAUCUCAUACAUACACCUUUCCUGCAAAUCACACAAAUGCACCA